ACAAAUUUGGUUAUUUCAAUUCUAUUUAUUUAACAACUGCAUUUAUUUUGGGACCCGAUAUUCACAAUCAUACAAAAUGUGUGUACCAUAGUUCUUAUUUCAUUAGCAUUAUGUGGUAUUUAAAUGUACUUGUGGUUGACAUAUAUACACUCCAAGUUUACUCUGCCUUGCUCUUGGUCUCACAAAACUGUUUAACUAGUACUGUUAGUAUUAUUUAAACUGUUCUCCUGUUUACAAUAUUAUAAUUUUUGCACAUGAAUUCCUUCAUUUACUUGAACUUCUCCUUGUAAGAUUCCAAGGUCAUGAUGAUAUAAUCCUGUUGUUCAUAAUCAACAAUCCAUCCUUCGAAAGAUUUCUUCAGCAGCUGUAAUGUAAAAACAAAAGAAAAUGUAAUUUGGUGGACCGUGGGAAAUCAUUUUUUUUAAUGGAAUAGCAAAGUAUACUUAAACAUAAUUUUUAUUCAAAUCCCAGCAUGAAUAUAUGUAGAUGUUUGUCAG
rnacentral:lncRNA from 1 species